rnacentral:rRNA from 1 species
CAGCAGCCGCGGGAAUACAGAGGGUGCGAGCGUUAAUCGGAUUUACUGGGCGUAAAGCGCGCGUAGGCGGUUACUCAAGUCAGAGGUGAAAGCCCGGGGCUCAACCCCGGAACUGCCUUUGAAACUAGGUGACUAGAAUCUUGGAGAGGUCAGUGGAAUUCCGAGUGUAGAGGUGAAAUUCGUAGAUAUUCGGAAGAACACCAGUGGCGAAGGCAAUCCCCUGGGCCUGCACUGACGCUCAUGCACGAAAGCGUGGGGAGCAAACAGGAUUAGAUACCCGUGUAGUCCCUGUCUCUUAUAC